UACGAAGGGGCUAGCGUUGUUCGGAAUUACUGGGCGUAAAGGCGCGUAGGCGGCCUGUUAAGUCGAACGUGAAAUCCCCGGGCUCAACCCGGGAACUGCGUCCGAUACUGGCAGGCUUGAAUCCGGGAGAGGGAUGCGGAAUUCCGAGGUGUAGCGGUGAAAUGCGUAGAUAUCUGGAGGAACACCGGUGGCGAAGGCGGCAUCCGUGGACCGGCUAGUUGACGCUGAGGCGCGAAAGCCAGG
rnacentral:rRNA from 1 species